rnacentral:rRNA from 1 species
GAUGAACGCUGGCGGCGUGCUUAACACAUGCAAGUCGAACGAUGAAGCCCAGCUUGCUGGGUGGAUUAGUGGCGAACGGGUGAGUAACACGUGAGUAACCUGCCCUUAACUCUGGGAUAAGCCUGGGAAACUGGGUCUAAUACCGGAUAGGAGCGUCCACCGCAUGGUGGGUGUUGGAAAGAUUUAUCGGUUUUGGAUGGACUCGCGGCCUAUCAGCUUGUUGGUGAGGUAAUGGCUCACCAAGGCGACGACGGGUAGCCGGCCUGAGAGGGUGACCGGCCACACUGGGACUGAGACACGGCCCAGACUCCUACGGGAGGCAGCAGUGGGGAAUAUUGCACAAUGGGCGCAAGCCUGAUGCAGCGACGCCGCGUGAGGGAUGACGGCCUUCGGGUUGUAAACCUCUUUCCGUAGGGAAGAAGCGAAAGUGACGGUACCUGCAGAAGAAGCACCGGCUAACUACGUG